rnacentral:rRNA from 1 species
GAUGAACGCUGGCGGCGUGCCUAAUACAUGCAAGUCGAGCGAAUGAAGAGGAGCUUGCUCCUCUGAUUUAGCGGCGGACGGGUGAGUAACACGUGGGUAAUCUGCCUGUAAGACGGGGAUAACUCCGGGAAACCGGGGCUAAUAACGGAUAAUAAAAAGAAACGCAUGUUUCUUUUUUGAACGUUGUUUUCGGCUAACACUUACCGAUCACCCCGCUGCGCAUUAGAGAGUUGGUGAGGUAACGGCUCACCAAGGCGACGAUGCGUAGCCGACCUGAGAGGGUGAUCGGCCACACUGGGACUGAGACACGGCCCAGACGCCUACGGGAGGCAGCAGUAGGGAAUCUUCGGCAAUGGGCGAAGGCCUGACCGAGCAACGCCGCGUGAGCGAUGAAGGCCUUCGGGUCGUAAAGCUCUGUUGUUAGGGAAGAACACGUACGAGAGUAACUGCUCGUACCUUGACGGUACCUAACCAGAAAGCCACGGCUAACUACGUGCCAGCAGCCGCUGUAA